rnacentral:lncRNA from 1 species
CCGCUGUCGGCCCCCGGGGCUGGUGGGGACAGCGGGGGGCUGUAGGGACAGAGGAGCUGGGACCUGAUGGCCCGUGCCCCCCGGCUGCAGGAGGCGCGGAUGAGCCGAGCGGCGGAGGUGAUGGUCCAGCACGUGGAGAACCUGAAGCGGCACCACCUGCGGGAGCACGCCGAGCUGGAGGAGAUGAAGCGCCUGAUCCAGCAAAACUCCCGCAACCGGCAGCUGGCCGAGACCCAGGGUGAGGUGGGCUGCGGGGUUUGGUCCCGAGCCCCUCGGGUGCGCAGUCUGGGGACGGGGACGGGGGCGGGUGACAGCUGGGGCCGCAGCCACCCGACCCGAUGACAAGCACGAGGGGCCCCGGAACGGCAGCCACGGGGUGGGAGCAGCUGCUGGUGGCCGCAGAGCUGUCAGCCCGCGGCUCAGCGGGGAAUGCAGGGCGGGGGGGGGACACAAAGGACACUUUGUCCCCAGCCCCCGGCCCUGCAAACCCCACGCAUGCUCCGAGCGAGGUCUCCCCAGCGAGGGCACCCCUGGGACUUGUGCCAGGCAUGGGGCACGGGGCCCUGCUCGCCUUCAAUUGGGGGGACGUUUGCAUUUUCCUGCACAUCAGCCCCCGUUUUUAUUUUUAUUUUUGUAUUUUGGAGGCAACCUAAGACUUCUUUUCCUUGCUCCCAGAUGACGCGGAGCCACGGCUGAGGCCUCACCCCCUGAUGCGAUCCUUCCAGCAGGUAACCGGGCGCAGCAGCCCCGCUGCCAGCCCCCAGCCAUCGUCCCCGUGCCCUGCCACCGUCCCUCACCCGGCUGUCCCCGCGCACCCGCCACCCCCCCGGGCAGCACCACCCUUCCCAGCCGCUUGCUGCGGGCGAGGUCUGCUAGAAACACCGGGGAUGGGGGGCAAAAAUUAGGGGCGGCCACGGGGGAGAUGGUGUCCGGGAUGUCUCAGGCAGGUCCCUCUGCGUUGCAGGGCUUGGCUGGCAGGAGGCCGUUCUCUAGCACCAGCUCGAAUUCGGCACUGGUUCCCCUCCAGCUCAAGAGGCGUCUGCCCGCCGCAGAGUCAGCAUCGCCGUCAUCCCCAAGCAGCUCUUGCCAGGUGCCAGCACGGACAGCCGAGCGUCCCCCGCCAGCGAGCCGGAGGGGUCCCAGCGCCCGACCAGCACCCAGAGGUACCCAGAGGGUGAUGAGAGGACCGUGGCACCGUCUGUCACUGUCCCACGGGGGACAGCACAGCCUCCUGCCUUCUCCCUCCCCAGGAGCGAGCUGGAGCCACCGGGCCGGGGCAGCACCGUGAGCGGGGAGCCGGCGGCUGGGGCAGAUGGCAAGGACACGAGCGCAGGGAGCGAGGAGCCAGAGCAGCUUGGGCUGAUGUGAGCGCACCCCGCGUCCUCCCUGCAGCCUUUGGGGGGGGCUCUGUGGUCCCAAAGUGGUCGGCAUGUGGGGAUGGAGCUGGGAAGCUUGGGGACGGAGAGCAGGGAUGGUUUGUGGCUGCCUCA